AAUGGAAGAGAAUAAAAAAACUAAAGUUAAACGAAAAUUGUUUGUAAAACCUGUAGCUAUUGUUAAACCUUACGUUCCAGAAGGAACUUAUAAAAUUCCUCAAGCUUAUAUUCCUCAAGUGGUUGAAACAAGACCACUUGAGAGAAUUGAUCAACAAAUAUGCGAAGAUGAAUUGGAAAUAUUUGACGAUAUUCCAGAAAUUGAUGACGGUAAAUUAGUAUUAUUUUUUAUAAAUAUGAUAUAUUUUUAAAAAAAAUCUAAUAGUUUAAAAUAAUUUUUUUAGAACGAGUGCGUAUAUUAGAUAACAUAAUGAUAAGAAUAGACCGUCAUUUGGAGGACGAUGACAUAAUGAUUAGAAACGAUCGGUAUUUUGCAACACCAAGACGCGUGAUAUGUUUUGGAUGUUGCCUGUGUGACGAAGAGAGCGUGCACAAUCAUUGUUGUACAACAACCGUGUGCCCGUACGUGCAAGGACUAUUUGAACGGUGCCGCGGUUGUUGUUACUGUUUGUAAAUAAUUGUAAAUAUUUGUAAAUAAUAAAACAUUUGUAAAAUAUAUUUGUAUAUUAUAAUAAAAAAAAUCAUUUA